rnacentral:rRNA from 1 species
CCUACGGGUGGCAGCAGUCGAGAAUCAUUCACAAUGGGGGAAACCCUGAUGGUGCGACGCCGCGUGGGGGAAUGAAGGUCUUCGGAUUGUAAACUCCUGUCAUGUGGGAGCAAAUUAAAAAGAUAGUACCACAAGAGGAAGAGACGGCUAACUCUGUGCCAGCAGCCGCGGUAAUACAGAGGUCUCAAGCGGGGUUCGGAUUCACUGGGCGGAAAGCGUGCGUAGGCUGUUUCGUAAUGCGUUUGUGAAAGGCGCGGGCUCAACCCGCGGACGGCACAUGAUAAUGCGAGACUAGAGGAAAGGAGAGGGAACCGGAAGUCUCGGUGUAGCAGUGAAAUGCGUAGAUAUCGAGAGGAACACUAGUGGCGAAGGCGGGUUCCUGGACAUUAACUGACGCUGAGGCACGAAGGCCAGGGGAGCGAAAGGGAUUAGAUACCCCGGUAGUC